GGCCGUGUGGCGAAAUGGCAUCGCGUCUGACUACGAUUACUAGUAUCAACUACUGUUACUUCGGAAUCAGGAGAUUGCAGGUUCGACCCCUGUCUCGGUCA